CUCGCCGUGAGUCGACGAAGGGAGCGCGGGCGCGCGCCCGCGUCCGCGCACUGAGAGUCGCCUCGGCCGCUCGCUUUCUCGACUCCCGCCUCGCGCCUCGAUCCUGUUCCGCCUCCCUCGGCCCUCCUGCCCGCCCCCACUCGUCGGCCCUCAGCUCAGAGACCUAAUAGGAUGGGGUCUUAGAGAAACAUCUUUUGAGCCACAGACUUCUUUGUUACCAGAAGGAAAAUGAAAGAAGAAAUUUAAAUACCACUUGAAGAGAGGUAAAUAAAUGAGAAAUGGGGCUGAGAGGGCGGGUAUUUUUUUAAAAAUUCAUUAAAUGGAAAAAUCCACAAAUGUUAAUUCUGGUAGAUUUCUUAGAAAUUACAUCAGAGGAGCAUGCUUGGUCUUCCCACCCUCAUUAGGCCUCAGUGACAGGUACUUGAACAACUGAGCCCCUAAUGUGCAUGCUCCCCCACCCCUGAAGCCAGUCUCUGCCCUCCUCUUCCCUCCUCUUGCCCCUGGAAGCUGAUCGCCACCAACUGGCCUCUGGGUGGAUUUGGCCAAUGGAAGCACCUGUAGAGGGAAGAGAGUGAGGUUAGGAUAUUUCUUCCUGCUGUCUCCGUGCUUCCCUGCAGAGAGUGUGAAGAAAUGACCCUGAAAAGCCUCUGGCAGAGGAUUCUUCUUUCAGGAUGGUGUCGCCUCCUCAGCAGCCCAUCCUCCUCCCCUGGACUCAAGCUCUCAUUCCAGUAACACUCCUUCCUCCUUCUCCAUCUUCAGGGGGAGGUUUGCCAGUCGGUGGGUUCUAAGCAUAUCUCGCUGAUUCCCCCCAACCCUGCCGACACCUCUGUAGGUCGUCCCUUCAUUAAAAUCUCUCCAUUUGAACUAUCUGAGUUUAAUUCCAUUUCCUCCUGGUAUCUCAGUGAUACACGGUAUCAGUACAAAAAUCUCGCUUCACCUUCAGAACCAACAGAUUUGAGACAUUUUAUCCUCUGUGGAACCAUUAGUUAUUUUGUCAUUGGUUGUAUCAGAAAAAAAAAUCAGGAAUGCAAAUCCUUCUUUAUUACAGAUUCAGAUUUGCAUAUUACCAAUGUUAUAUAUUUUAAACAAAACUAUUCAUCAUAAGUUUUAAAAAUUAACUACUGGAGUAGUUAAUGAAUCUGAAUGUAAUUAUGUAGCUUUCAUAAUAUUAAAGUAAAAAUACUAAAAGAAGUAUUUCUUAAAGAAGCAAAUGCUCAAUCUCCAAGUAAAUUUUAUUCUAUGCUCUUCCGGUAUAAGAAUAUGUUAAUAUCUUGAAAAAUAUCAUAUUAUUUUGUGAACUCAUAAAGCUAUUUUGAGUUUUUGUAAAAUGAAAACCUUACCAAAAUGUAUUUUAUUGUUGGAAAGCUUGACCGUUACUGCUGUUUAAUUUUUUGAGCUUGUAAACUUUAUUUGUGCAUGUUUUCAACAAAGAAGGAUUUUAUUGUUAUUACAUAAAACAGGUGAUUUCUAGAUUUUAAAAUCACAAAUUGAAAGCAAGGCACAAUAAUAUAUAUUUCAAGAUAUAGGUACUUAGGAGGCAUCCUUUUAGUCAUCUGUUCAAUGUAGCCAUCUAUUUUACACCUACUGUCUACUAUUGUUUGAGGUCCUUGCCAAAGUAUUGCAGGCUAGUUAGGAAACAUAAAACAAUUAGAAAGUAAUCUAUGACAAGUAAGCUAUCUAUAAAUGGCAAUGAAGGGUAGAACAAAUUCAAUGAAAAUAUCUAUUUAAUCCUAGUGUUUACUGGUCUAGAAGAAUAGGCUGAGUAAAUUAGUAUUUCUCUGGCUGUUGUGGUAACACAUUGCAUGCUAUAACAGUUUUAAGUAAUUACAGGUGCAUUGAAAUUUAUCUAUGGCUUUGUCAUCAUAUUCUAAAAUGUCAUGAGUACUUUUUUCUGACCUCAAUUACUAUGAAAUUGGUUUCCAAUAUUUAAUUAACCAAGAAUAUCAAGUCUAUAGGGUAUUAUUAAGGUGAGACUUCUGUAGCCUUUUCAAUAAAGACCAGAAUUUUGGAGUGCCUUGAACCUUAAUCAUUGAUCUUUAAUUCUUAUUAAGUCAACUGCCCACCUUUUAAAGACUGAGGCCCAGGAAGAGUAAGUUUCUCUGAGACAAUGCAUACAGUACAGUGCUUCUUGGGUAUUGGCUCUAAGACCAGAUGCAAAGAAAGGCUAAAAUCCCAUUUCAUUGUUCAUUAGGUGAGAACCCUUUGUUAAGCUGUGUAACCUCUGUGCAUAGUUUCCUCAUCAGCAAAGUCAGAAAAAGUAUGUACCUGAAGGACUGAUUGUAAGGCUGGGAUGAGAGAAUCCAUGUGAUCAGCCCUCACCAACAGGUGCUGCCCAGUUCAUGAGUGCUGCUGCUGUCCUGCCCAAGUACCCAGCUUGCAGAGUGCCAGAGUUAGAGUCCCAGGGGUGUUCUCCACAGCUGCAUGCUUGAUCCAGGCCUAUCAGGUGUUAUUUGUUGACGGAACCAGGCAUCAUCAGCAAACAAAACUGACAAAGCUUCCUGCCCUCUGUGGAAGGCAUCUGAGGAAGAGACUGGAUUUUGUAGCAACAUGUUAUUCUCAUUAUAAACUUUAUCAUUGGAAUACUAAAGCCAAAUCAUCCCCCAUCUCCUUGAUCAGGAUACCCACUUAAUCUAGGCAGCUACACAAUUGUGAGAGCCUUUGUUUUUUUCUGCUGAAACAUCCUUAAAAAGAUACCUCACAACCCAAGAUUUGGCUUUUCUUAAAUACGAUUUUUAAUUUUUUUCAUUUCUAUCUAGAGAUUUAAUUGGAAAUGGAAAAUCAUCAAUUUUCCAAUUAAAUGUCUGUUCCAAUCAACAUUAUACCUUUUAGGUUGUCAUUGUCAUUUUUAAGUUUAAGCAACUUUAAGGAUUUUGAAUCUGGCUGCCUGUAAAUUAAAGGUGAAAGUAAUCAUUGUGUUGGAUUGGAACAUUUUGUCAAUUGAGAGUGGUUUCCUUGUUCUUAGUGUAUGAAAAGUUUAUUUUUCUAAUGUAGAUUAAUAAAGGAGAUAAAGAAAAACAAAAUGAGUGAUUUAUGUGUGUGAGAAAAGAACCAUUUCCUCAAGGAUUAAAUAAAAUUCAUACCUUUUGUUUCUUUUGAAAAGUUUUUAAAAUAAAUUUUAAUGAAUGUGUCCUUUAAAUAUUCCUUUAAAAAUGUAUCCUAUUUUAAAAUGGACUCUCUGAGAGAAGGAAUUGAUACCUGUGUUUAAAAUCAAAAAUAGCAUGCAUAGAGACUGUUUUUCUAGUUGGUUGAAGCUUUUUUCCCUCUCCUUUACAUCAGUGAACCAGCAUCUUGCCCUUCAGACCCUACAGCACACUCUUGGGCUCAUGAAGUGUAUGACACAUCCUCCUUGGGGGAUCGGCCAUGUCCUCGCUCUCAUGACCACAUGAAUUCUUCUGUAUGUCUUUUCUCACAGCUGAGUACUCUCUUCCUGACCCCCUUGUGGAAUGGGGAAAGGAGGCUGUGACAUUGUGCUUGUGCAAACAAUAAUUGAGAGCUUUCCGAGUCUCCUGCAUCUUCAUAAAUGAUUUUUUGUUUUAUGCUGGGACAGUAGUUCUUUAAAUAGAAUAUUCUCCCAUGGAAAUCGCCCACAAUGCUGAGAGUACACCUUGCAAAAGGUAAGUCUAGAAUAUAGGGUGCCUCCUCAGCAUUGCCCAGAAGCUGAAGUUAGGACUCUCUAGAAUACCAAAAACAAAUUUAUAGCAGUUCAUUAAUGUAAGGAAUUAUGAAAACUGUGUGCCACCAUUAUCCAUAGAUGAAACAAGAGCCACCACGCAAGCACAGACACAAAGCCCUGAAGAUGAAGCCAUUGACAGGGCUCUCAUUUAUUCUGUAGAAACCCACUUGCCUGUUUUUGAACCAGUUUUCUUUGGAGCAUAUGUCUCACUGUGCAACCAAAGUGGUGUUUAUAUCCUAGUCACUUGGCAAAAAUUCUGUCAUUGCUUCAGGGAGAUCCAUUUUAGGCCUGAAGCAUGGAGCUGGUAAUAGAUGGGAUUUGGUACUUCUGAAGAAAAGACCCUACUGCAAAUUUAGAGAGUUAAUUUUUUCUUUUGUUCCCCAUAAUAUUGUUGCUAGAUAGAACUACCUUUUUUGACUAGAAGUUAAAUAUAGAGGCCUAAAUCAAUUAGGUAACUCCCACUCAUUCUAAAUGAGAACAUGUUUGUUUUUCUCCAACGAGAUGAGAAAUAUUUGAGGCGCUUCCUGAUAUCUCUAUCACCCACUGCAUUUUUUCACUUGAUGUAUAUUUCCCCAUGUAUUUGGGAUAAUUUUCAAAUAAUUGCCCUUUAGAAAUCUACUUGAUAUUAAAUGUAAAAAAAAAGCAAGAUGCAAAAUUAUUAUAGGAUGCAUUUACAGAAAUUACAAAAUUUCUAUAAACUAUUUAUGGAGGAAGACUUAUAGAGUAUAUGUCAACACAUUGCUUUAUUAUUGUCCUUGGUUAUGAGUAUGGUUUUUUUGAAACCUGCUUUGUACUUUGGGUGUUUUCUCACCAUUGGUACAAUUGAGGCAUUUUUCCCUCUUCUUCAACCUUGCAAAUCACACGUGAGGAUGCUCAUAGAAGUGCCUCUCAGACAGGCUGUUGUUUUGCUUUCACCAAUAAAUCAUUUAUAAUUAGAAGUAGAAAACUAUUCUUUCCAGUGCAAAUACAUCCCUUUCAAAAGCAGUUCUCUUUUUGUGAAUGAUGUCUAGUGUCUAAGAAACGAGGGUAACCUUUAUUAUAUGCAUUGCUCUAAUCGAAGCAUUGUUUUUUGCGGUGAACUCAAGGUUACAUGUUUAAGAAAAGCAUCGGGUUAAUUCCAUUAGGAAAAGUGUCUUAUUCAUAAACCUUUAGCCACUGGAAAAACACCAUUAGGAGGCCACACAAGUGUGUAUAGCUGGAUAGAAUUUGACAACUGGCAAAACAAAACAAUAGCCUACAAUUGCAGAGUGCUGUCUGUUUAAAAACCAACAUAUCUUUCACCAACAAAUACAUAUUCACCUCAACACGAGACUUUCAUGUGGUUAUUAAUAUCAAAUUUUUGAAUGUCCAAAUUUUGGAGUGUAGUCUAGCAGAGGUAAACUGAUUUGCCUAAGGUCCUUCAACUGUCAGAGGUAGAAUUAUUUUCUCUCUCCUGGCUCUAAAACCUGUCCAGAUUCUCCUGCAACACUGUCCUUCAAAAACACACUUCCGCUGACUCCAGUGCUGGUGAUGUCAUGCUUUAGCUAGUAGUUAGAGGUGACUUAACUUUAAAUAUGGAAUCUUUUUUUCCUAUUAAGCAAUGAGGUUUAGUUUGAAAAUUCUUAGAGAUGAUAAACCCCUCUCCUUUUUUUCUUCCUUCUCCUCUUUUGUCCUGAACAAUGUUCCAUAUAUAUUACUGCCAGAAACAGAUUCUUGACAUUCCUGUUAUGCUUUUCCACAUCUUGUAAUCAUUUCUACAGCUGUUAGCAUUGCCAACAAUUAUAUUUCCACUUUUAAAAAAUUGUUACAAAGAUGCAGAGAGAAAAGAGGAAAGCCAAGGAAUAAACUACAGGCAAUUAUGGGAUAUUUUUGUGAUGUGACAUUUUGGGAACUGAGGCAGCAUCACUGAUACUGCACUACUUUUUAAUAUCUAGAUUUUAAUCUUUUGUAUGAAGAUAAAAUUCACAUGCCUUAAACCUGACCACAACAUAAUAGGGCAUUUAUUUUUCUAAUUUUGAUACCAUCCACAUUUCUUAACUAUAAGAAGAAUGCUUAUGUUGUACCAGGUUAUAUGAUGUUGCCAAGAAGUAGAUGUGUACCAUUUACUAAUACAUCCUUUUGGAAAAUGCGUAUUAAUAACAUAUUAAGGAGUAAAUUGACGUUGUGCAAAGUGAGCCUGUGAGUUUAAAUGUAUGGAUUGUACACCUUGCUCUUCCUAAUUGCAGAUUUAACAGGAUUUGAUGACCUAAUGAGUUUAUUUCUGAAUGAUUUAUAUUUCUUUGUCAGUUCAAUGAUUUAGUAUUUUAAAUUUUUUUAAAUCACAUUUUAUUGAGAUAAUGCUAUUAGUGUUUCUUUCCCAUCACUUAACAAAGUUAAGUCACUCCUCUCCCACCCCACUUUUGUACCUACCAAUGUUUUUUUCACAGUUACAGGCUGAUUGGCUUGACGUGUCUUAGGAUACCACCCAAAGAGAGCUUCAUUUUAUAAAUACCAAGCUCAUUUUCCUAAAUAUUUUCAAAAAGAUAGAUUUAUCCUCAUAUAGUAAAUUCAGAUUAAUAAUUUUGGAAAGGGUCAUGUGACCAUGGUAUUACAUGGCUGUGGAAGACCCUCCAAGAUCUUGUUUUGGGAUAGAAGGACUCAGACAUCCAAACUUUUAAAUUAAUGAACUUAUUAAAUUCUAAAACUUUGUAACAGUGUUAAUUUGAGAAGUAUAAUAUUUUGCUUAAGGUCUGUUUUGCUUUGCAAAAUGCAUCUCCUUCAUUUUCAUAUUAUGUUGGAAGCUUAGCAUGAAAGAACGUGCCUCAGAGGAAACCAUAGGUAAGCAUACUUUAACAAAAGUUAGUGUCAUCAUGUUUGUGUCUUUGCCUGUGGUUUUUUAAAUGUAUAAUGUUUAACGUUGAUUUGGCUAUCAAAUUACAUUUUCUUUUGUUAAAAAAUUCUGUAAAUUAGAAAUGUACUGAAUCAUUUAUUUAGCAGACUGAAGGUGGGUAAUGUUGGCUGAACAGGUUUAAGCCACAGUAAUUUGAAAAUGUAAAUACAUAAAAUAAUGUCAUUUCUCUUCCACUCAAUGUUUCUUCACCAAAUAAAGUCCAGCCUGCUCUGAAUUUGUUGCCAGUAGGAACAAUGUUACAGUGAAUCAUGGUUUAAUAUACCUUGAAAAUGGCACAUCUGUUCUGUGAUAGCUUACCAAUUUUAGCCUCUUUAUAAAAUACGAAGAGUUUGUCAACCAGAAUAAUCUAGAACCUGGCAAUUCAAAUACCAUUCAAAGCAAAUGUUUUAUCUAAUAACUGGAACUAAAUGUUAGGCCUCAUGACAGUUCAAUAUUUACUAAAUAAGUUUAAUAACAGGGUAAGCCCUCAGUAUCCAGAGCAGAGACAAGCACACCAUAUUUACACAUACAAAUUCUGCCUUUAGCCAUCUGAAAGGGCCCCGAACUAUUGCAGCAAGCAAAGAGUCUUUGCAUUGUCCUAAAAUCCAUACAAUACUUUAUAUUUUACACAUUUUAAUAGCUAGUUUAACAAAUAACAAGUACCAUGCUUAAUUCUCUGCAUGCAUUAUUUCAACUAAUUAUUGGAAUAAUCUUAUAAAGUGGGUACUUUCGUCUCAGCUUACAGGUGAGAAAACAAAAGUUAAAUAGAUCGCCCAGGGCUCUGCUGGAACGUGUUAAGCAGGGAUUUCAGCCUGUCCAGUCAGACCCCAGAAGUUGUGUUCUUAACCAUUAGCAACACAUCAUCCCAGGCAGGCCCUACAUGAGCCUCAUAACCAAUUUUAUGCUGGAUAGUAUUAUCCCUAUUUCACAGAUGGCAAAACUGAGGUCCAGAGACUUUAAGUGACCUACCCAAAAUUACAGUCAUGAGCAGAGGCACUGGAAUGUAGGGCCUUGACACUCUACCUCACGUGGUCCUCUUUCCUGUUUUGGGUAGUUCUCCACUACCACUACUCAUUUCUGAUGCUGGAAAGGCUGUGUUUUAUACAUUUCUGUUUCUGGCUUGGAACGAAACACUCUGGGUCUCUGCUUGAUCAGUGUCCCCUCUAAACUGCACCUCACUACAGUAGGGAUGGCAUAAGAUACUUCUUUACACAGCAUCUUUUUGUUCCCACCUCACCCCCAGAGCUGUAAUAGGUAGAGCCAGCCAAAUGUCAAAGGGAUGAUUUGUCUUGUCACCACUAGUUUCCCUUUUCUCUGCCUUGUAUGUAACAGGAAUAUUCUUUAGUUCCUCCUUAUGUUCUAAAGCACCUCCCCAACCUAAAAAUAGAAGAGGAGUUGUGGGUCAUUUACACUUUAGUGUGAAUUUGCCCUUGUGACUUUGCCAAGGCUGUUGUGCCUAACCCUUUCAAUCUAACAGCAGAAUGAGAGUCUCUGGACUAUCCUGGCUCCUUCCCUGAGAAGAAUGAACUGGGAAUUGUUGGUCUAGACAUCAAGACUACCAGAGACCUAUUGCUCAGAGAUGUUUGGGCUGUACAAUUUCUGUAGAUAUGGCAUCUGGAGCAGCCUUUUCUAAGCAAUGGCAUUAUCAUUCCAGGCUCUCUCGCUCUUUCCAUCUCUCCACCAGGUGGACUCUUGCCCUCCACCCCUUCCAAUUUGUCAGUGAUUCAGAGAACAUUCUCCAUCCUUCCAAUGAUUACAUUCCUUCAUCUUGCUGGGGCGCCAAUUCAGUGAUGGAGCGGCUCUUGGGAGCAGCCUUGGCUUAUAGUGCAGCUCUCUGCUACCUUCAACAGGCUGGUAUUCGGGGUGCUUAGAUGUGACUGGUUGUACGCACGUGUGUGUAUGUGCAUGUGUGUACAGCAGUAAGAGCUUUCGAGGUAGAUACUUGAGGAAGCCUCAGACAUCUAGCCCCAUUACUGGGGCAAUGUCUUACUUGGGUUUUUCCAGAAACAGACCUGGAGACCAGGAUUCAAGUGCCAGUGGUAUAUUUGGGAUGUGAACCCUGCAAUGCUGGUAGGAGAGUGGAGAAGUGAGGCAAGGAAAGGAAGGCCGUCAAGGGGCGUGUUAGGAGGUCAUUCACCACCGCAGGUAGCCCGCUGGGGACCUCUGGGAGCAAGUGUGGCGCACAAGCCUCAGCAUUACUGCCCUGUGCCUUGAGGAGUAAGGGAUAAGGAUUUUCCCCACCAGUUCCCUGUAGUCCUUGGUGAGAGCUUCUGGGGUGGAGGUUAAGGUCUUUAGGUCAGAGAAAUUUUCUUUAGUUUCGGAAAAAUCUUUCAGGCCGAGGUCCAGACACUCACUGGAACACACUGAAGUGGUUAGGUCCAAGGGCUGUAGGCAGAGCUCCCAUAUCCAUCUGCAGAGGUGUUUCAGGUGGAAGGAGUGGAGACAGCCUUCUCUGCUCCACACUGUCUUCAGCAAGGGUUUCUGUAUCUGUGCAUUGAGGAUUAAAUUAUUCACAUGGUCAGAGAAGCCCAUCACCACUGAUAGUUAUUGUAGGUAUGGAAAACUAACGACUAAGAAGGGAGAAAAAUAUACCAAGCAGUUGGCUUGGCUGAACACAAGUAAAGACUCUUACAGUCACUGGUGUGAACUGCUUAUUAUCAAUGUCUGAUUACAGUGCUGCAUACUAAUGAUUAUGCAUGUCAUUAAAUGUGUCAGAUUAACUUUGUUAUAAAAUUUAUGACAACAUUAAAUUUUAUUCACAUGCUCAGCCUUCAUAAUUUAUUGCUUAUGUAGCAUGGUUUUAACUUCAGAAAAACCUCCAAGACAGUGUUGUCUUGAUGACUACACUGCUUAUCCGUGAGUCUAGUUUUCCUGUUCAUUUGAAAUGUUCACAUUACAUUCAGCUCUGUCUCAAGCACUGAGACAGAGCUGGAAUCAGUGCCCAGCGAUUCCACUUGCCGAGUGAUUGA
rnacentral:lncRNA from 10 species